rnacentral:rRNA from 1 species
AUACGUAGGGGGCAAGCGUUAUCCGGAUUUACUGGGUGUAAAGGGAGCGUAGACGGAAGGCCAAGUCUGAUGUGAAAGCCCGCGGCUCAACUGCGGGACUGCAUUGGAAACUGGUCAUCUGGAGUGCAGGAGGGGUAAGCGGAAUUCCUAGUGUAGCGGUGAAAUGCGUAGAUAUUAGGAGGAACACCGGUGGCGAAGGCGGCUUACUGGACUGUAACUGACGUUGAGGCUCGAAAGCGUGGGGAGCAAACAGGAUUAGAUACCCUGGUAGUCCACGCUGUAAACGAUGAAUACUAGGUGUGGGGGGACUGAGCCCCUCCGUGCCGCAGUUAACACAAUAAGUAUUCCACCUGGGGAGUACGAUCGCAAGAUUGAAACUCAAAGGAAUUGACGGGG